AGAGUUUGAUCCUGGCUCAGGAUGAACGCUAGCGGCAGGCCUAAUACAUGCAAGUCGAGGGGUAACAGGGGAGCUUGCUCCUGCUGACGACCGGCAAACGGGUGAGGAACACGUACACAACCUUCCUUCUAGUGGAGGAUAGCCCAGGGAAACUUGGAUUAAUACUCCGUAAGAUGUUAGGGAGGCAUCUCCCAGACAUUAUAGUAGCGAUACGCUAGAAGACGGGUGUGCGUCUGAUUAGGUAGUUGGCGGGGUAACGGCCCACCAAGCCGACGAUCAGUAACUGGUGUGAGAGCACGACCAGUCACACGGGCACUGAGACACGGGCCCGACUCCUACGGGAGGCAGCAGUAAGGAAUAUUGGUCAAUGGACGAAAGUCUGAACCAGCCAUGCCGCGUGAAGGAUGAAGGUCCUCUGGAUUGUAAACUUCUUUUAUAUGGGACGAAAAAAGGGUUUUCUAACUCUACUGACGGUACCAUAUGAAUAAGCACCGGCUAACUCCGUGCCAGCAGCCGCGGUAAUACGGAGGGUGCAAGCGUUAUCCGGAUUUACUGGGUUUAAAGGGAGCGUAGGUGGGCUGUUAAGUCAGUGGUGAAAUCCCGGGGCUCAACCUCGGAACUGCCGUUGAUACUAUCAGUCUUGAAUAUUGUGGAGGCUAGCGGAAUAUGUCAUGUAGCGGUGGAAUGCUUAGAUAUGACAUAGAACACCGAUUGCGAAGGCAGCUGGCUACGCAUAUAUUGACACUGAGGCUCGAAAGCGUGGGUAGCAAACAGGAUUAGAUACCCUGGUAGUCCACGCCCUAAACGAUGGAUACUCGACAUUAGCGAUAUACUGUUAGUGUCUGAGCGAAAGCAUUAAGUACCCCACCUGGGAAGUACGAUCGCAAGAUUGAAACUCAAAUGAAUUGACGG
rnacentral:rRNA from 1 species